CGCCUCGCCACUGCCGCGUAGUUAUGUCAAGGCAGCGGGUCGCGUACUAGCUUCGUUAGUACUUGUGCGUCCGUGUCAAUACCAUGUGCUGUAAACUGCUGAACGAAGUGAGAUACUCAUUCAAUUUUGCUCGCCUCUCCAUUAUCUCGUGGUGACGUAAAGGUGACGGCCCGUGUGUUAGUUUCCCCGGUAAUUGUGCCUCCGUAACAUUACUGUGUGCAGUGGUCGUGAGAACUGCGAGGCGGCGGUGUAGACUGUGCCGUGGAGAGCCGCGGGGUGUUGGAAUCGCCUGUCAGUCUCCUUAAAGGCGUCAUAUUCCCUGCCUGCUCUUCCCCGUGUCUUCCUGUCGAUGUUGUAUUAUGAGUGCGGCUCUGUUCUGAGUGACAAUUACCUCAGCACAGCCUCGACCAAUCAGCACCAAGUAUUGAAGUCACGUGAUACUCUCUUCUCGCCGUCUCCUCAGCCAUUCGCCCUGCGCCCGCUGACGUGAUGUGACAGGUCUCCGGUUGUGUUGCAGCGGUGAGGUGGUGUUGCAUCUUUUCUCAGCGGGCGUGUUGUGGUGGAUUGCGGUGUGAAGGGAGAGGUGGAUAGGAGAUAAUUGGUGGGCUGUGCGUGGUGAGUGCCACACUGUCUGUGAGGGACCCCCAGAGCCACACAGCACCAGCUGCAACAGCUACAGCAGCAGCAGCAGCAGCAGGAGGAGGAGGAAAUGGCAUCCACCUUCUACCUCACCCAGUGUCACCGGGGCCUCCUCCUCCUCCAGCAGCUGGCCAGGGUGCAGGGACAGGAUGAGCAAGCAGGUAGUGACAGAGAGGGUGGCCAGCUUGUCCCUGCCUCCUGCCACCCAGCCACAGCACUGGCAGUUGCUGCAGUGAGACUGCCCAGGCACAAGUUUGUGCACGUGUCCAGGACGUGAAGGUGAUGGGAACGUGUCCUGUAGGAAGGAGCAGAGCUGUAACAGUACCCGAGUCUGCUGCUGUGCUGGGAGGAGGAGAAAAACAUCAGCAGUACUUAGUAGUGGCAGUAGUAGUAUUCAGCAGUGCUGCUGCUGCUGCUGCUGCUGCUGCUGCUGUCAGUGGUGCAGCUGUUCACUCCUCCACAGCUGCUGCCUUCCCUCAACAUACUGUGUCUUCCCUCACCUACAAUGAACAACUAUGAACAAUACCUCUCGUGCAAUCAGGCAGCGCUCAGCUGUACUCACCGAUAGACUGACCACUAAGAAUUACCUGUGGGCCACAUGACAAGGCCCACGCCAGCCAGGCUUGGUUGCCAGUCAAUAACAACAACAACAACAACAACAACAACAACAUCUCGUGCAAUGAAGAACACUGAAUAACAACAACACCUCUCCCCUGCAUCAUCAACAAUCAACAACAUCUGCUUUGUUUCACUCAUGCUGCCCCCCCCCCCUCUCUCUCUCUCUCUCUCUCUCUCUCUCUCUCUCUCUCUCUCUCUCUCUCUCUCUCUCUCUCUCACCUCACCUCACCUCACCUCAGGCCACAGCGCCACAGUAUGUCCCCCCACAGUAUGUUUACAAACCCAGUGACUCCCCACAGCCCCUCACCAAUAAGUGAGCCCCUCACAAACACACACACACACACACACACACACACACACACACAGCAUAACAUACACAAACGCUGCAUCUUGUACAAUGGCCAUAAUAAAGAAUGGACACACAAAAUGGACAAA